rnacentral:rRNA from 1 species
CCUACGGGAGGCUGCAGUCGAGAAUCAUUCACAAUGGGGGAAACCCUGAUGGUGCGACGCCGCGUGGGGGAGUGAAGGUCUUCGGAUUGUAAACCCCUGUCAUGUGGGAGCAAAUUAAAAAGCUCGUACCCCAAUAGGAAGAGACGGCUAACUCUGUCCCAGAAGCCGCGGUAAUACAGAGGUGUCAAGCGGUGUUCGGAAUCACUGGGCGUAAGGCGUGCGUAGGCUGUUGCGUAAGUCGUGUGUGAAAGGCGCGGGCGCAACCCGCGGACGGCACAUGAUACUGCGAGACUAGAGUGAUGGAAGGGGAAGCGGAAUGCUCGGUGUAGUAGUGAAAUGCGUAGAUAUCGAGAGGAACACUCGUGGCGAAGGCGGGUUACUGGACAUUAACUGACGCUGAGGCACGAAGGCCAGGGGAGCGAAAGGGAUUAGAUACCCCAGUAGUC